CAAAGGUUUGGUCCUGGCCUUGAGGUCAGUUAUUACUUAGUAUACACAUGCAAGUAUCCGCCCCCCUGUGAAAACGCCCUUUAACCCCUUCUAGGGACAAGGAGCUGGUAUCAGGCACUAAAAUUUGCCCAAGACACCUAGCUAUGCCACACCCACAAGGGAAUUCAGCAGUGAUUAACAUUGAGAAUAAGCGAAAGCUUGACUCAGUUAAAGUAAGAUAGAGCCGGCUAAUCUGGUGCCAGCCGCCGCGGUUACACCACGUGGCUCAAAUUGACCCCCUCCGGCGUAAAGCGUGAUUAAAGUUAUCCGCUACUAGAGUUAAACUAAAACUAAGCUGUGACACGCCUGUUCAUUAAGAAACCCAAAAACGAAAGUUACUCUACUCCAACCAACUUGAACUCACGACAGCUAGGGAACAAACUGGGAUUAGAUACCCCACUAUGCCUAGCCGUAAACCUUCACUUACACUCAAAUCGCCAGGGAACUACGAGCCAAGCUUAAAACCCAAAGGACUUGACGGUACCCCACAUCCACCUAGAGGAGCCUGUCCUAUAAUCGAUAACCCACGUUUAACCUCACCAUUUUUUGUUAUUCAGCCUGUAUACCUCCGUCGUCAGCUUACCACGUGAGCGCUAAUUAGUGAGCUCAAUGUCUUUCACCAAUACGUCAGGUCAAGGUGCAGCAAAUGAAAUGGGAAGAGAUGGGCUACACUUUCUAUCUUAGAAGAAACGGAAAACUACUUAUGAAAUCUAGUUAGAAGGCGGAUUUAGCAGUAAAAAGGAAUCAGCAUAUCCAUUUUAACCCGGCACUGGGGUGUGUACACACCGCCCGUCACCCUCUUCAAAGCUAUUAUCAACCUAGUUUUUAACAAACUAAAAUCUUGCAGAAGAGGCAAGUCGUAACAUGGUAAGUAUACCGGAAGGUGUGCUUGGAAA
rnacentral:ncRNA from 1 species